rnacentral:pre_miRNA from 1 species
GGGGGGAGGCUGGAUCCUGGGCUGUGUCCCCGGCGUCCUGUGCCGGGCCUGCGCUGUUGGAUUCGCGCUCUGGCCGGGCAGCCCCCU